rnacentral:rRNA from 1 species
AGUACAGUGGCGGACGGGUGAGUAACGCGUAGGAAUCUACCUGGUAAUGGGGGAUAACUCGGGGAAACUCGAGCUAAUACCGCAUACGCUCUACGGAGGAAAGAGGGCCUCUAUUUAUAAGCUCUCGUUAUCAGAGGAGCCUGCGUUGGAUUAGCUAGUUGGUGAGGUAAAGGCUCACCAAGGCGACGAUCCAUAGCUGGUCUGAGAGGACGAUCAGCCACACUGGGGCUGAGAUACGGCCCAGACUCCUACGGGAGGCAGCAGCUAAGAAUCUUCCGCAAUGGACGAAAGUCUGACGGAGCGACGCCGCGUGGGCGAUGAAGGCCGAAAGGUUGUAAAGUCCUUUUCUGCCUGAGGAAUAAACUGGGGAGGGAAUGCCCUGGUGAUGACGGUAAGGCAGGAAUAAGCCCCGGCCAAUUACGUGCCAGCAGCCGCGGUAACACGUAUGGGGCGAGCGUUGUUCGGAAUUAUUGGGCGUAAAGGGCGCGUAGGCGGCUUUGCAAGCCUGGCGUGAAAGAUCACAGCUUAACUGUGGGCACGCGCUGGGAACUGCGAAGCUUGAGUUCUGGAGGGGGAGCUGGAAUUCCAGGUGUAGGGGUGAAAUCUGUAGAUAUCUGGAAGAACACCGGUGGCGAAGGCGAGCUCCUGGCCAUGAACUGACGCUGAGGCGCGAAGGCGUGGGGAGCGAACAGGAUUAGAUACCCUGGUAGUCCACGCCGUAAACGAUGUGCACUAGGUGUUGGGUCGUUAAGACUCAGUGCCGCAGCUAACGCGUUAAGUGCACCGCCUGGGGAGUAUGCCCGCAAGGGUGAAACUCAAAGGAAUUGACGGGGGCCCGCACAAGCGGUGGAGCAUGUGGUUUAAUUCGAUGAUACGCGAGGAACCUUACCAGGGCUUGACAUAUACUAGACGGUCGUAGAGAUACGGCUUCCCUUCGGGGCUGGUAUACAGGUGCUGCAUGGCUGUCGUCAGCUC